rnacentral:rRNA from 1 species
UGCAGUCGAGCGGAACGAGUUAUCUGAACCUUCGGGGAACGAUAACGGCGUCGAGCGGCGGACGGGUGAGUAAUGCCUAGGAAAUUGCCCUGAUGUGGGGGAUAACCAUUGGAAACGAUGGCUAAUACCGCAUAAUGCCUACGGGCCAAAGAGGGGGACCUUCGGGCCUCUCGCGUCAGGAUAUGCCUAGGUGGGAUUAGCUAGUUGGUGAGGUAAUGGCUCACCAAGGCGACGAUCCCUAGCUGGUCUGAGAGGAUGAUCAGCCACACUGGAACUGAGACACGGUCCAGACUCCUACGGGAGGCAGCAGUGGGGAAUAUUGCACAAUGGGCGCAAGCCUGAUGCAGCCAUGCCGCGUGUGUGAAGAAGGCCUUCGGGUUGUAAAGCACUUUCAGUCGUGAGGAAGGUGGUGUAGUUAAUAGCUGCAUUAUUUGACGUUAGCGACAGAAGAAGCACCGGCUAACUCCGUGCCAGCAGCCGCGGUAAUACGGAGGGUGCGAGCGUUAAUCGGAAUUACUGGGCGUAAAGCGCAUGCAGGUGGUUUGUUAAGUCAGAUGUGAAAGCCCGGGGCUCAACCUCGGAAUAGCAUUUGAAACUGGCAGACUAGAGUACUGUAGAGGGGGGUAGAAUUUCAGGUGUAGCGGUGAAAUGCGUA